UACAGAGGUCUCAAGCGUUGUUCGGAUUCAUUGGGCGUAAAGGGUGCGUAGGUGGCGCGGUAAGUCGGGUGUGAAAUCUCGGAGCUUAACUCCGAAACUGCAUUCGAUACUGCCGUGCUUGAGGACUGGAGAGGAGACUGGAAUUUACGGUGUAGCGGUGAAAUGCGUAGAUAUCUGGAGGAACACCGGUGGCGAAGGCGGCAUCCUGGACCGGUAUUGACGCUGAGGCGCGAAAGCCAGGGGAGCAAACGGG
rnacentral:rRNA from 1 species